rnacentral:rRNA from 1 species
AUGUUUAGUGGCGGACGGGUGAGUAACGCGUGGGCAACCUGCCUUACACCGGGGGAUAACACUUAGAAAUAGGUGCUAAUACCGCAUAACAGGAGAACAUGCAUGUGUUUUCCUUGAAAACCACGGUGGUGUAAGAUGGACCCGCGUCUGAUUAGCUUGUUGGCAGGGUAACGGCCUACCAAGGCGACGAUCAGUAGCCGGCCUGAGAGGGUGGACGGCCACAUUGGGACUGAGACACGGCCCAGACUCCUACGGAAGGCAGCAG